CCUACGGGUGGCUGCAGUAGGGAAUAUUGCUCAAUGGGGGAAACCCUGAAGCAGCAACGCCGCGUGGAGGAUGAAGGUUUUCGGAGUGUAAACUCCUUUUGUUAGAGAAGAUAAUGACGGUAUCUAACGAAUAAGCACCGUCUAACUCCGUGCCAGCAGCCGCGGUAAGACGGAGGGUGCAAGCGUUACUCGGAAUCACUGGGCGUAAAGCGCGCGUAGGCGGGAUAGCAAGUCAGAUGUGAAAUCCUAUGGAUUAACCGUAGAACUGCAUUUGAAACUGGUAGUCUAGAGUAUGGGAGAGGUAGGUGGAAUUCGUGGUGUAGGGGUAAAAGGAGGAGAGAUCAAGAAGAAUACACAUUGCGAAGGCGACCUGCUAGAACAUAACGGACGCUGAUGCGCGAAAGCGUGGGGAGCAAACAGGAUUAGAUACCCCAGGAGUC
rnacentral:rRNA from 1 species